AUUGAACGCUGGCGGCAGGCCUAACACAUGCAAGUCGAACGAGUGGCGGACGGGUGAGUAAUGUCUGGGAAACUGCCUGAUGGAGGGGGAUAACUACUGGAAACGGUAGCUAAUACCGCAUACCAUCAGAUGUGCCCAGAUGGGAUUAGCUUGUUGGUGGGGUAACGGCUCACCAAGGCGACGAUCCCUAGCUGGUCUGAGAGGAUGACCAGCCACACUGGAACUGAGACACGGCCCAGACUCCUACGGGAGGCAGCAGUGGGGAAGAUUGGGCAAUGGGCGAAAGCCUGACCGAGCAACGCCGCGUGAGUGAAGAAGGUUUUCGGAUCGUAAAGCACUGUUGUUGGAGAAGCGGUAUCUACACAAAAAGCCACGGCUAACUACGUGCCAGCAGCCGCGGUAAUAC
rnacentral:rRNA from 1 species